AUUGAACGCUAGCGGGAUGCCUUACACAUGCAAGUCGAACGGAGUGGAGAUCGGGGGAGUAAUAAAUCGGUACGUGCCCAGUAGCGGGGGAUAACGACGCGAAAGCGUCGAUAACACCGCAUACUAUUGCAUCGGCCGAUAUCGGAUUAGCUUGUUGGUGGGGUAACGGCUCACCAGGGCGAAGAUCCGUAGCUUGUUUGAGAGGACGAACAGCCAAACUGGAACGUGGACACGGCCCAGACUCCUACGGGAGGCAGCAGUGGGGAAUGUUGGAGAAUGGGGGAAACCCUGAUCCAUCCAUCCCGCGUGUGCGAUGAAGGCCUUCGGGUUGUAAAGCACUUUUGGCAGGAAGGCGGUACCUGCAGAAUAAGCACCGGCUAACUACGUGCCAGCAGCCGCGGUAAUAC
rnacentral:rRNA from 1 species